GCUGGAGCACUAUCAGCUUAAGCAAAUUUUACUAUUCGCUAAGCAUUUUGUCUUUGUGGGCAUAUGUAAUUUCAGCUCUAUUGUAGUGAUUUCAAAUUUUUGGCACAAAGUCAGCAAAUUAGAUAGAGGGGAAUAAUCAAUUUACACAGACCCCAGU